rnacentral:rRNA from 1 species
UAGGGGAGCCGAAGGGAAACCGAGUCUUAACUGGGCGUUAAGUUGCAGGGUAUAGACCCGAAACCCGGUGAUCUAGCCAUGGGCAGGUUGAAGGUUGGGUAACACUAACUGGAGGACCGAACCGACUAAUGUUGAAAAAUUAGCGGAUGACUUGUGGCUGGGGGUGAAAGGCCAAUCAAACCGGGAGAUAGCUGGUUCUCCCCGAAAGCUAUUUAGGUAGCGCCUCGUGAAUUCAUCUCCGGGGGUAGAGCACUGUUUCGGCAAGGGGGUCAUCCCGACUUACCAACCCGAUGCAAACUGCGAAUACCGGAGAAUGUUAUCACGGGAGACACACGGCGGGUGCUAACGUCCGUCGUGAAGAGGGAAACAACCCAGACCGCCAGCUAAGGUCCCAAAGUCAUGGUUAAGUGGGAAACGAUGUGGGAAGGCCCAGACAGCCAGGAUGUUGGCUUAGAAGCAGCCAUCAUUUAAAGAAAGCGUAAUAGCUCACUGGUCGAGUCGGCCUGCGCGGAAGAUGUAACGGGGCUAAACCAUGCACCGAAGCUGCGGCAGCGACGCUUAUGCGUUGUUGGGUAGGGGAGCGUUCUGUAAGCCUGUGAAGGUGUGCUGUGAGGCAUGCUGGAGGUAUCAGAAGUGCGAAUGCUGACAUAAGUAACGAUAAAGCGGGUGAAAAGCCCGCUCGCCGGAAGACCAAGGGUUCCUGUCCAACGUUAAUCGGGGCAGGGUGAGUCGACCCCUAAGGCGAGGCCGAAAGGCGUAGUCGAUGGGAAACAGGUUAAUAUUCCUGUACUUGGUGUUACUGCGAAGGGGGGACGGAGAAGGCUAUGUUGGCCGGGCGACGGUUGUCCCGGUUUAAGCGUGUAGGCUGGUUUUCCAGGCAAAUCCGGAAAAUCAAGGCUGAGGCGUGAUGACGAGGCACUACGGUGCUGAAGCAACAAAUGCCCUGCUUCCAGGAAAAGCCUCUAAGCAUCAGGUAACAUCAAAUCGUACCCCAAACCGACACAGGUGGUCAGGUAGAGAAUACCAAGGCGCUUGAGAGAACUCGGGUGAAGGAACUAGGCAAAAUGGUGCCGUAACUUCGGGAGAAGG